AGGGUUUGAUCAUGGCUCAGAACGUACGCUGGCGGCACGCCUAACACAUGCAAGUCGAACGCAGUAGCAAUACUGAGUGGCAGACGGGUGAGUAACAUGUGGGAAUCUGCCUUGUGGUUCAGGACAACAUUGGGAAACCGAUGCUAAUACUGGAUAAGCCCUUACGGGGAAAGUUUUAAUGCCAUAAGAUGAGCCCGCAUUUGAUUAGUUAGUUGGUGAGGUAAUGGCUCACCAAGACAAUGAUCAAUAGCUGAUCUGAGAGGAUGAUCAGCCACACUGGGACUGAGACACGGCCCAGACUCCUACGGGAGGCAGCAGUGGGGAAUCUUGCACAAUGGAGGAAACUCUGAUGCAGCGAUGCCGCGUGAGUGAAGAAGGCCUUUGGGUUGUAAAGCUCUUUUGUAGGGGAAGAUAAUGACUGUACCCUAAGAAUAAGGUCCGGCUAACUUCGUGCCAGCAGCCGCGGUAAUACGAAGGGACCUAGCGUAGUUCGGAAUUACUGGGCGUAAAGCGCGCGUAGGCCGUUGAGUUAGUUAAUUGUGAAAUCCCAAAGCUUAACUUUGGAACUGCAAUUAAAACUGCUCGACUAGAGUUUGAUAGAGGAAAGCGGAAUACAUAGUGUAGAGGUGAAAUUCGUAGAUAUUAUGUAGAACACCAGUUGCGAAGGCGGCUUUCUGGAUCAACACUGACGCUGAGGCGCGAAAGUAUGGGUAGCAAAGAGGAUUAGAUACCCUCGUAGUCCAUGCCGUAAACGAUGUGUGUUAGACGUUGGAAAUUUAUUUUCAGUGUCGCAGCGAAAGCGAUAAACACACCGCCUGGGGAGUACGACCGCAAGGUUAAAACUCAAAUGAAUUGACGGGGACCCGCACAAGUAGUGGAGCAUGUGGUUUAAUUCGAAGAUACGCGCAGAACCUUACCAACACUUGACAUGUUCGUCGCGACUCUAAGAGAUUAGAGUUUUCGGUUCGGCCGGACGAAACACAGGUGCUGCAUGGCUGUCGUCAGCUCGUGUCGUGAGAUGUUGGGUUAAGUCCCGCAACGAGCGCAACCCUCACUUUUAGUUGCCAUCAUUAAGUUGGGCACUCUGAAAGAACUGCCAGUGAUAAGCUGGAGGAAGGUGGGGAUGACGUCAAGUCCUCAUGGCCCUUACAGGUUGGGCUACACACGUGCUACAAUGGCGGUGACAAUGGGAAGCGAAGGUGCGAGCCUUAGCAAAUCUCAAAAAGCCGUCUCAGUUCGGAUUGCACUCUGCAACUCGAGUGCAUGAAGGUGGAAUCGCUAGUAAUCGUGGAUCAGAAUGUCACGGUGAAUACGUUCCCGGGUCUUGUACACACCGCCCGUCACACCAUGGGAGCGGGUUCUGCCAGAAGUAGUUAGCCUAACCGUAAGGAGGGCGAUUACCACGGCAGGGUUCGUGACUGGGGUGAAGUCAUAACAAGGUAGCCGUA
rnacentral:rRNA from 1 species